rnacentral:lncRNA from 1 species
AUGGUAUCCUGUCUGGCAAGGCAAUGCUUCAGCUGCUGUGUUGGGCCUGCUGGCUUUUACUGGAUUGUAAAGCAGGAAAGUCUCAGGAGCAGCCUACAAGGAAACCAAAACCCAGCGCUUGGUGGCUCCAAGUGGCCUACAAAACCUUACCGACCACUGUGGCAAGUAGCACUGUACAAACUUCAUCCAUACACUCCCAUGAGCAUGAAGACACUACAAGCAUGUAAGAAAACACUGGGGCUCUAAGGCCAUAAUCCUGGAAAUUCCUACAUAGAGGUCCUGUAUACAGGAUUACUUUGUUUCCCUGUACCCUGUGUAUGUUGUGACACAAAGCUCAGUUGGGUGGUCCCAUGAUGGCGUGUGCUGUGGUAUCUCUGACUUGGGAACCUUGGGGCCUGUAGGAGCUCCAGGAGCUGAAUGAGGUCCACUGGCAUGUGCUCUGCUCCUGGGUUGGACAGCAUCUGAUUUGCCUGUUGCAUUGCCUGCAAGUCCUUCAUGUCUCAGUCCUGUCUGUCUUGGAAGAUGCAGAGAGAACUUGCAGCCUCCAGACGCCGAGGAGAACCACACCAGAGCUGGAAAUUAAAAUGUCCACAGUGAAAACCAUCCACCUACGUAAUUUUUUUAAGGAAACUUAACUGGACUAAAAAAUGUACAUAAGAUAACUUGAAGACACAUGGAAAACAAAAUGCAGCCUCCUCCUGACCUGGAAACAGAGAAGAUUUCCAUCACUGGUAUGACCAGGCCUUUUUGUAGCUAAUUUCUCAUGAAACAGUUAGAUAUGGUCUAGUCACAGGAUACAAAUACACAAAUGUUACUUUUUGGAAUGCAUUCUUCUACCCUGGAUGGCUUGUACCAUGUUAUUUAACAUUAUUUCUGUUACGUUGUGAGCCUGUACUGUACUAAGCUGUAAGCAUUACUCAACUGUUGUCAAAUAGAAACAGUUUUGGGUGCUAACUUUAAAUGCCCAAGGAAAAUGAGUAAAGUAUAUAUACCUAAAAUACAUGAAUAAUUCCAAACAAUAAAUGAUUUUGUGUGUGUGUGUGCA